CCCUUUGCGGCAGCUACACAUGCAAGUCGAGCGGAUGAGAAGAGCUUGCUCUUCGAUUCAGCGGCGGACGGGUGAGUAAUACCUAGGAAUCUGCCUGGUAGUGGGGGACAACGUUUCGAAAGGAACGCUAAUACCGCAUACGUCCUACGGGAGAAAGCAGGGGACCUUCGGGCCUUGCGCUAUCAGAUGAGCCUAGGUCGGAUUAGCUAGUUGGUGAGGUAAUGGCUCACCAAGGCUACGAUCCGUAACUGGUCUGAGAGGAUGAUCAGGCACACUGGGACUGAGGCACGGUCCAGACUCCUGCGGGAGGCAGCAGUGGGGAAUAUUGGACGAUGGGCGAAAGCCUGGGCAGCCAUGCCGGGUGUGUGAACCGGUCGUCGGAUUGUA
rnacentral:rRNA from 1 species